AGGGAAUUUGCUUUUUCACUUGCACAAGAUGAAAGGAGACCAAGAUUUUCCUUUCUCCCCAGCUCCUCCUUUUCUGUGUCCAUCUCACCGCCUGGGAUGCAUUAGGGCGGACAGGCAUUGCUGCCUUGCAAUGUCCAUGCAGGGAGACUGAGAGAGAGGAAGGUGGAACAAACGCAUAGCAAAGGCUACAGCCACACUGAGAGGUGGGGAGAAGAUCCAGGUGUCCUCCUUCCCUUUCCUAAGCACAAAAGACCAGCACAUGGCACCAGCCCUGCUCCGAGGGGGGGCUGCAUCCAGCCUGGAUCUGCAGAAAAAGCAGAAGAUCCAGCAAGCCACGCACCCUCUCCUCCCUUUGUGUAGGUCUCCAUUCAUACCAGCUGCUGGCCUGGGCUUCUUGGGCAUGCAGAUCAGCUGUGCUGGCGACGGAUGGCCUCCCCAUAUCCCCCUCACUUGCUUUUGUUCACUGCUCCUGAGUUAAUGGCUUCGUCUCAGGAGUGGCCAAAGCGGGAGCCAUCAGCGCAGCUCUCCCCGAGAUGAGCAAUCUGUCCCGAGCAGCGAUUUCAAUUAAAGGGUCAUUAGCGUGAAAUCUUAUCCAGCCUGGCUCCCAUUUGCCAUCAGGAGGUCCUUCUCCUCCCCGUCCCAGGCCUCGCGCUGUGGUUAGAGCGCGCUGCUCCUGCUGGAGCCCUCCCGUUUUGCUAAAACACAGCAGCUGCUGCUAAUAAACAAACAUAUUGAUCAUGGAGAUAUGGGCUGUCAGGGACUUAAUUCAUGAAUGAAAUGUGCUUAAGGGUGCCCGGUAGGCAAGGGCUUUGCCUGGAGAGCUCGAGACCAAGAUGGUGCUUGGAGCACGUGGGCACUGUCCGCUGCUUCACCUACCUGUGGUAUUCGGCACUGACCCUCCUGCCGGUCCUGCCUUGCCUCCUGCCCCAGGGGCUGUGUUUUGGGGCUCACCAAAGAGGUUUCUGCUUCCUGCACAGGGGGAGAAGGAGGUGGUGUGCCUCCCCCAGCGUGUGUCUGUCUGCUGCUCUAACACCUUUGCUGUGGGACUCCUGUGUCCCUCUGCUUAAGGGAGGUCAAAGGAGCUCCAGGCCACAUGGAUGAGGUGGGGUGUCCAUCGUUCUGCAUCUCGUCCUUCCCUUAUUGACAGCACGAGCCCGUUCUCUGCCUCCCCUCCAGUUCCUGUGUCAGCAGGACAGGGACCUGGCAAGGAUGAGCUGGGAGGACCAGGAUUUCAGGCACCUUUUCAGAACCUGAUCUCACCGGCGG
rnacentral:lncRNA from 1 species